GACGAACGCUGGCGGCGUGCUUAACACAUGCAAGUCGAGCGGAAAGGCUCCUUCGGGGGUACUCGAGCGGCGAACGGGUGAGUAACACGUGAGUAAUCUGCCUCUGGCUUCGGGAUAGCCACCGGAAACGGUGAUUAAUACCGGAUACGACACAUCACUGCAUGGUGCGUGUGUGGAAAGUUUUUUCGGCCAGGGAUGUGCUCGCGGCCUAUCAGCUUGUUGGUGGGGUAAUGGCCUACCAAGGCUUCGACGGGUAGCCGGCCUGAGAGGGUGACCGGCCACACUGGGACUGAGACACGGCCCAGACUCCUACGGGAGGCAGCAGUGGGGAAUAUUGGACAAUGGGCGGAAGCCUGAUCCAGCAACGCCGCGUGAGGGAUGACGGCCUUCGGGUUGUAAACCUCUUUCAGCACAGACGAAGCGCAAGUGACGGUAUGUGCAGAAGAAGGACCGGCCAACUACGUGCCAGCAGCCGCCGUAAAAC
rnacentral:rRNA from 1 species